rnacentral:rRNA from 1 species
UACAUAGGGUGCGAGCGUUGUCCGGAAUCACUGGGCGUAAAGGGCGCGUAGGCGGCCUGCUAAGUAGUGGGUGAAAUCCUGCGGCUCAACCGCAGGGCUGCCUUCUAAACUGUCAGGCUGGAGCACGGUAGAGGCAGAUGGAAUUCCCGGUGUAGCGGUGGAAUGCGUAGAUAUCGGGAGGAACACCAGUGGCGAAGGCGGCACUCUGGGCCAGUACUGACACUGAGGAGCGAAAGCGUGGGUAGCGAACAGG